rnacentral:rRNA from 1 species
GAUGAACGCUGGCGGCGUGCCUAAUACAUGCAAGUCGAGCGAAUGGAUUAAGAGCUUGCUCUUAUGAAGUUAGCGGCGGACGGGUGAGUAACACGUGGGUAACCUGCCCAUAAGACUGGGAUAACUCCGGGAAACCGGGGCUAAUACCGGAUAACAUUUUGAACCGCCUGGUUCGAAAUUGAAAGGCGGCUUCGGCUGUCACUUAUGGAUGGACCCGCGUCGCAUUAGCUAGUUGGUGAGGUAACGGCUCACCAAGGCAACGAUGCGUAGCCGACCUGAGAGGGUGAUCGGCCACACUGGGACUGAGACACGGCCCAGACUCCCACGGGAGGCAGCAGUAGGGAAUCUUCCGCAAUGGACGAAAGUCUGACUGAGCAACGCCGCGUGAGUGAUGAAGGCUUUCGGGUCGUAAAACUCUGUUGUUAGGGAAGAACAAGUGCUAGUUGAAUAAGCUGGCACCUUGACGGUACCUAACCAGAAAGCCACGGCUAACUACGUGCCAGCAGCCGCAGUAA